GAUGAACGCUGGCGGCGUGCCUAACACAUGCAAGUCGAACGAAGCGAUCAAGAUGAAGUUUUCGGAUGAAUUCGAGAUUGACUGAGUGGCGGACGGGUGAGUAACGCGGGGGUAACCUGCCUCAUACAGGGGGAUAACAGUUAGAAAUGACUGCUAAUACCGCAUAAGCGCACAGUCUCGCAUGAUACAGUGUGAAAAACUCCGGUGGGAUGAGAUGGACCUGCGUCUGAUUAGCUAGUUGGUGAGGUAACGGCCCACCAAGGCGACGAUCAGUAGCCGACCUGAGAGGGUGACCGGCCACAUUGGGACUGAGACACGGCCCAAACUCCUACGGGAGGCAGCAGUGGGGAAUAUUGCACAAUGGGGGAAACCCUGAUGCAGCGACGCCGCGUGAGUGAAGAAGUAUUUCGGUAUGUAAAGCUCCAUCAGCAGGGAAGAAAAUGACGGUACCUGACUAAGAAGCCCCGGCUAACUACGUGCCAGCCGCCGCGGUAAUAC
rnacentral:rRNA from 1 species